GCGCAUGCAGGCGGCCUGUUAAGUCAGAUGUGAAAGCCCGGGGCUCAACCUCGGAAUUGCAUUUGAAACUGGCAGACUAGAGUACUGUAGAGGGGGUAGAAUUUCAGGUGUAGCGGUGAAAAUGCGUAGAGAUCUGAAGGAAUACCGGUGGCGAAGGCGGCCCCCUGGACAGAUACUGACACUCAGAUGCGAAAGCGUGGGGAGCAAACAGGAUUAGAUACCCUGGUAG
rnacentral:rRNA from 1 species